UACGUAGGGACCGAGCGUUGUCCGGAAUCAUUGGGCGUAAAGAGCGUGUAGGCGGCCACUUAAGUCAUGCGUGAAAUCCUGCGGCUCAACCGCAGGCGGUCGUGGGAAACUGGGUGGCUAGAGUGCGGGAGAGGAGAGUGGAAUUCCUGGUGUAGCGGUGGAAUGCGCAGAUAUCAGGAAGAACACCCGUGGCGAAGGCGGCUCUCUGGAACGCAACUGACGCUGAGACGCGAAAGCGUGGGGAGCAAACAGG
rnacentral:rRNA from 1 species